AGAGCAUGGCUUUUGGAGUGAUUCUGAGCUAUGUUUGAAUCCUGACUCCAGCAUUUACUGGCUGUGUGACUUUGAAACCUCUGGAGUGUUCUAACUGGCAAAAACAAUGGUACUUUGCGGUUUUGAGCCUGGGAAACCUAAAAAAAACUUUGGCAAUUGUGUCUCUUCUCACUUCAUGGCUCUGGAAAACAAGAAGACUGCUCAGCUUGACUCCAAGAGAUGGAGUUUCACCAUGCUGCCCAGGCUGGUCUUGAACUCCUGGACUCAAGUGGUCCAACCGCCUCGGCCUCCCAAAGUGCUGAGAUUACAGGCAUGAGCCACCGUACCCAGCCUUGAAUACACUUUGGUGAAUUCUGUUUAUAAAUAAUAUAUGCUCAUUGUGGAAAUUCUGGAAAACACAAAAGCUUAAAGAAGAAAAUGAAGUGCACCAUAAUCAUACUACCC
rnacentral:lncRNA from 1 species